AACGUAGGAGGCGAGCGUUAUCCGGAGUUACUGGGCGUAAAGCGUGCGCAGGCGGCGGGGUAAGUAAGGUGUGAAAGAUUCCGGCUUAACCGGGAGAACGCGCUUUAGACUGCUUCGCUAGAGUGGGAGAGAGGGACGUGGAAUUCCGGGUGGAGCGGUGAAAUGUGUAGAGAUCCGGAGGAACACCAGAGGCGCAAGCGGCGUCCUGGGUCCCAACUGACGCUGAGGCACGAAAGCUUGGGGAGCGAACGGG
rnacentral:rRNA from 1 species